AUGUGCAGUGGGCUAUGCCUGCUGACAACACAUAUAAUGAAGAGAAUGAUAUCCUGACUCAAAGCAUGAACAGUGCAUUCUCUGUUUCCUAUCACCUUAUUUCAUGGUGAUGAAAAGUCUUUUAACUAGCUCCUGAGUUGGAACUGAGUGUAUAUACACGAGGAAAGAACAGAAGGAAUCUGUCUUUCUCCCUUCAAAAGCCAAUGGUGGUUAAUGGGUCAUGUUGCUAAUAAGUAUCUCAGGUGUUAUCAAAACCCAGUCUUCCUGAUGCUAAGUCCAGUGCUUAAUCUACUGCAUGAUGCUAAGUCCUUCUGUUUGGACUCCAUGUCUGACAUCUUCCAAGACAUAGGUGAAUAAGAUAGCUUCAAAGAGGAUCUGGGAUAUAAUUCUGUGUCAUGGUGUCUAUGUGAGCAUGUUUCUACCCACCAAAGUUGGUGUGCCCAAGGCAGAGCUGGAGAGGUAAUCAAGUUUUUAUUGAAUU